rnacentral:rRNA from 1 species
AGAACGAACGCUGGCGGCAGGCCUCAAACAUGCAAGUCUAGGGGGUGUAGCAAUACAUCACCGGCGGACGGGUGCGUAACACGUGGGAAUGUACCUACUGGUUCGGAACAACGCAGGGAAACUUGCGCUAAUACCGAAUAAGCCCGAAAGGGGAAAGAUUUAUCGCCAGUAGAUCAGCCCGCGUAGGAUUAGCUAGUUGGUGGGGUAAUGGCCCACCAAGGCUCCGAUCCUUAGCUGUUCUGAGAGGAAGAUCAGCCACACUGGGACUGAGACACGGCCCAGACUCCUACGGGAGGCAGCAGUUGGGAAUCUUGGACAAUGGGGGAAACCCUGAUCCAGCCAUGCCGCGUGAGUGAUGAAGGCCUUCGGGUUGUAAAACUCUUUCGACGGGGACAUAAUGACGGUACCCGUAGAAGAAGCUCCGGCUAACUUCGUGCCAGCAGCCGC